UCUGUUGUAGUCUAGUUGGUUAGGAUACUCGGCUCUCACCCUAAGAGACCUUGGGUUCAAAUCCCAGCAACGGAA
rnacentral:tRNA from 1 species